CACCAUCAUCACAUGGAAAAAGAUUGCUGGGACGAAGAUGACUUCCAGUCCUAUGCUGAAUAAAAGUGACCUACAGCUUCUGGGUUCUAAGGACAAAUGAAUUCCUUGGCUCUUUCCUGUGAACAUAUUCCUCUGCUAGAAUCCUGGUCACCAC